GCAGACCUGAAGAAUUCAGAACUGUAGAAAGUAAGGAAUUAUUGUUGUUUUAAGCCACUAAGCUUGGGGAUGGUCUGCUAUGCAGGAAUAGAUAAGUAAUACAUCUUCUUUAUUAAAAAAUGUUAUUGUAAUAACUUGAGGAGUUAAGAAAGCUAGGUAGGGUAUGAGCUAUAGCAAAAAUAAUAUUUUUAAGUGCUCAACAUAAAACCUUCCUUUUUUUUUGGAAACAAAAACAAAGCAGAUAUUGUUGAACUAAAUGAUUAGAUGCAAAAUAGCUAAAGCCUAUGAUAGACACCACUCAUAUUUACAGUUUCAUAGAUACUGUCUUCCACACCUUCAAUAGUCAUGACUUUUCAGUCUUCAAAUGUUUCAGGGUAUGUUUAUUGUGAUGAAGAUUCUUAUAAAAGGAUGUUUGAAUCUAGCUGCAUUUGACAAACUCUAAAUCAUCUAUACUUACUCCUGGCUUAGGUAUCUUCUCAAAUUCCUUUAACAUGAGGUCCUUUUCUUCUCUUAAACUGUAAAGAAAAAAGAAAUCAAGUUAGAGAACAUACAAAAGAGCAAGCUCUUUCUGUGUUUAUAACAUUCUAUUUUCUCUUCUCAUAGUCUGUUCCCAAGUUUAUCUGCAAGCACCCUGAUGUCCAUUCUUUAUGAUGGGCUUGCCAACUCUCCUGGGCCCAUUUGAGGCACUUCCUUCUCCUCAGCACCCCUACAACACUGAGUACACACACCCAGCGGAGAAGUCCUCUUAGCAUGUUAUAACUAUUAGGGAGCACAGCCUUCCCUCUAGACUCAGGCUCCUUCCAGGCAGGCUCUGGGCCUUCUUUAUACUACUUGCAAUGGAGGACUAGUGCCUACCUGGGUUACUGACACAGCCUCCUAACUGGCCCUCCUUGCCUGCCUCCAACCUUGCUCAUGAAAGUGAAUUACCACCCAGCACCAUAGGGAAGCCCAGUUGGCCCUGCAUACAUUGUCUCUCCAGUCUUACUGCCUGCUACCCUCUAGCUCUGGUCACACUGGCCUUCUUGCCAAACUUGUUCCUACCCCAAGACUUUUGCCUUUUCUGAUCCUUGCAAUUGGCUUGCUCUUUCCACAGAUCUCUGCACAGGCCACUCUUCACUUCAUGUAGAGCUUUACCUGGCGUCACCUUCUUGCAGAGGCACUGGAUCAUCCUAUCUACCUUCUUGCAGAGGCACUGGAUCAUCCUAUCUAAAACAGCAUUCUACAUCAUUCUUUCCUUGUCCUGCUAUAAUUUCUAUAUACUAUCCAUCACAACCUGAAACUACAUUAUGUAUUUGUCAGUUUGGCCAGCAGAAAACCUAGCUCCAUGAGAGCAGGGACUUUGUCCUGUUUACCACUGUAUUGCCAUGAUUCAAAAAGCAUUUGCAUGGGGCUCUGGUUGUGGCUCAGUGGUAGAGCGCUCACCUAGCACAUGUGAGGCACUGGGUUCGAUCCUCAGCACCACAUAAAAAUAAAUAAAUAAAAUAAAGGUAUUGUGUCCAUCUACAACUAAAAAAGAUUUUUUAAAAAAGCAUUUGCAUGUAGUUGGCACACAAUAAAUAUUUACAUGAAUCCAUAGAAUGACUGAAGUUAGUUUUAUUCCUUGUUUUAUUAUUUGAAAUAGCAUAAUUUAUAUGCUAAAUGAGAAGCCUAUGCAUAUGGAAAUAUAACUUCCUCAGAAUGGCCUAUUGCAUCACAUUGUUCUAUAUCCAGAUUGGAGAAAAAAACUGGUGUAAGUCAUGGAAGGGAAGACUACACAGUUGUUUUCAGAGAUGUGAAGAAGGGUUAUUUCAAGAACUCACUUUAGUUUUAUGUGAUGACUGAAUUCCUGAGGGAUAAUAUUAGAGGGGAACAUAGUUGCAGAUGUGGUUGGGUGGUGGAUAUCCAAGGGAUUCAAUGGAUGUUUCAGGUGAAGGACAGAUAGGCCAGGAGGCAAGUGUAAAGGAGUAUUACAUGUGGAAACUUGAGAACAAUCCUCUUUUAUUUCCCUUCCAAACUAUUAGGAACUCCAAUAUGAAUUCACAGGAAGACCCUGUGUGCAUACCUUAUACUUUUAUCUCAUGGGUGUUUGGUUCAUAAGAAUCUGCCUUCGACCCCUGUGACAAACACAUUGCCAUGAAUUCGUUAUGCCAUUUUCCCUCCCCGGAUACACAAGAAGUCUACAUUGUAUAGCCUUCCUUGCAUUUGGAUGGCGACUAAUUCUUGGCAAUGAAUGGGAGUAAAGACCAUUCGUCUUCCCAGCCACACUGAACUGGGAAGGCCAGGGAUCCAGUUGCCAAAGCUAAAAGAUGGAGGGGAUGUGACUUGCACUGGACUGCUGGGAGCUAGAAACAGAGUUUAGUGAUUCCACUGACAUUUGAAAAUGUGUUACUACUAAACAGCCCAGCUGAAGUCUGACUUCUUAUCCCCUCAAAUUACAACUCAUUAUCUUCCCCCCUGAGAUCUGUUUUUCUAUUCUUCCUCUCAGUCCAUGGCACUUGGGUCACUUUUCAAAAUUAUGAGUGUGAAUCAUUCUUGAAGCUUCUCCACGCCUUGCUCCUGUCAAGUUUUUUUUUUUUUUUUUGUCUUUAGCUUUCAGAAGUUGUAUUAAGAUGCAUUUGGAAAGUAUUUCUUAAGGCUUACUCUGAUUGGGUUCAUCAAGCUCCGCAAAUCUGUGGGUUUAUGUCAUCAAAUUUGGGAAGUUUUCAAUGGUUAUUGCUUCAAAUAUUUAUUCAUCACUUCAUACUUUUUUUCUCUGCAACUGUGAUAACAUGAGAUUUUUUGGUAUUGUCUCAUGCAUGCCUAAUGCUGUUCAUUUUUAUUCAAUCUCUUUUCUCUGUGUUGCUUAGAAUGGAUAAUUUCUAUUUAUUUACCAAAGUUAAAUAACUUCUAUCAUCUCCAAUCUUCUAUUCAGCCCAUCAAUUAAGUUAAAUUUUUAGUUACUGUACCUUUUAGCUCUAAAAUUUCCAAGGAAAUGUUCUUUAUAUGUUUUUGCUGGGAGCCAUUAGCCAAGUAGGUAUGACAAUUUCCUUGCCAGUGUACCCCAUGUUGCUUAGUGGAAGGACUCGUGGAAAUAGGACAUUUUGCAGUGACAUUGCAUCUAAGGUGACCUUGCUCAAGGACCAGGGCGGAUCCGGGUUUAGGGUGUUCCUGGUUUAGGAUAAUCCGGGUUUAGGGCGUUCCAGGUUUAAGGUUAUUCCUGCUGGGAAUAGGGCGUAUCCUGCUGCCUGAGUUCCCCUUGAGUUCUCACGGGAUUCAGAGAGUAUUUUUUGGGAGACAGAAGCCCAGUGGGUGUGGAUUUGGGCAGAGAACAUGGAUUUCCCCAGAACGUGAUUGUAGACGGCUGGUGUGAGUUCGGGAAUAAAGAGUUGCUGUUUGAAUCUACAAGCUGUGUGGUGGCUCGUGAUUUUGUGCCCAGCCAGACUGCGGCAUGUUUUGUUUUCUGAGACUGUUUUUUCCACUGUUACAAAGUUGUUUGGAAUUGUUUGUGGAUGAUAUAAGCACCAUAAAUAUUAUAGGAUUAUUGACUGUUUAUUAUAUUAAUUAGUGUGUGUGUUGAAUAAAUAAGUGACUAUAAGCAAUGUGCCCAUGAUGUACUGUGAACUGCAAUACUUAGAUAAACUGCAGAACCCAAAUAGACUUAAGUUAGUGAUGUAAGAGUCUACACCCGGGAUGUACACCCCAGACCUUACCCAGUUAUCAGCUAUAAGCACAACUGAACUAGGACUUAAAAACCCCAGACUUCUGGGGAGCGAUGGGACUAACAGGAUCAGGACAGAAAGACUGAUACUUCCAUCGCUGUUGUCCCCCCUGCACUAGACUCCUCUGGCACAGAUCCAGUUCCAGCGACCCAGACUUAAGGCAUGUCACGGGUGAGCAUCUGGGACCCUUGGGUGUAGACUCAGGACUUAGGAUGUGUGUUUGAAAUGUGAUGAGCAUUAAUAAAAAUAGAUUUUAUUAAAUCUAACUGCACCUCAGACUGAGUCUAUAGUAACUGCUUGUGACAGUGGAGUAUGCAUAUAAUAGCUGCUUUAAGUUCUUUGUCACAUAACUCAAACACUUUUCUCAUCUCAAUAAUGAUAUCUACUUUUUGUCUUUUCUCAUGGAAGCUGAUAUUUUCCUGAUUAUUUAUAUAUGACAACUUUUGUAUUAUAGCCUGAACAUUUUGAACAUUCUAUGAGAUUCCAGAUUUUACUUAAAUUCUAUGACAACUAUUGAUAUUUUUGGUUUCCAGACCUAGUUAGGUUUGUGUCAAAGGUCCAGUCAAGAUUCUGGGGGCUCUCAUUUUUUUCAGUUCAGUUUUCAUCACCUUUGCAGUACUAUUCAGAUUUUUCCUUUAUGUGUGCCCCCCUGGACAGGUUUGGGAUAUGGGAAAUGAACUCCCUUAUUUCAGUCCUCAAAGACUUCAGUAAGCUGUUUAGGGUCAGAUACACAAAUGCUCAGCUUGAGGGUGAGCCCAGAAGUUCAUGAACACAUGAAUGAGUUCACACGUACAAGCUCUUCUUCCUCUGAGAUCCCUUCAGUACUUCCUAGAGACUUGGAUCUUCUGAUCUUCUUCCUUUUUAACCUUCAGCCAGAAAAAUGGAGAUUUAGUUGCCUGUGCUACUUUGGCAACUGAACUUAUAUCUGGAGAUAAGCAGUGGGAUGACAGAGAGAAAAUGAAAAAAUAAGCAAAGGGAAUCUUCCUAUUCUUUUGGGAAUCAUAGCUCUAAAAUAGUGAAGUUUGCCUCUCCUUAGAAUCUUGGCUCCUGUGGUCUUCCACUGCAAGUGGCCUCUGUCAUUGCUGCCUCAGUGUUGCUUGGGAGCUGAAGAGUGAGAGAAUGUAGGGGAGAAAAAACCAAAAUCGGGGUCUGCAUUCUGAGCAUUAUGAGUUCCUUUCAUGAUCUUUGAGCCAGAACUAGUUUUUUCUGGGGUUCUGUCUGCCCAGGUCAAUGUCCACUUCUGGAUUUUAGCUGUAACAGUCAGGCUAAGAGAUAUCAGAGGGGAAAAAUGGCAAAUUCACCACCACUUCAGGAUCAUUUCCCUCAAUAUGCCUGCUGUUAUUUACUUUUCAGAGGAAAAUAUAUGCUACAUGUGUUUCACCCAGUUUCAUAGUUAUGUUUAGUAGAAGAUACUGGACACAGUGGAAUUAUUCUACAGUUCCUAGAGCCAGAACCCAUGUUUAAGGCCACUCUGGGAGAAGGUAUAGAAAGAGGGCUGAGGACUGAUUUCUGGGAUUCCAGAAUUUACAUACACAGAAGAUGAGGAGAAACUAGUUUAAGAAAAAAAAAAAGCAAACUAUUCUAAAACUAUUCUGAUUUCCAUUCCUAUAUGCAAGGAGUUCACUUGCCACUCCUUUCUAGCAAUAAGUAAAAUGCCAAGUGAACUGAGAAAUAUAUCCAUAAGAAAAUGAGGUCACAGGGUAAACCACCGCCACUAAAAUUGGAGGGAUAGAUAGACGAAUACAGAGAAUCACAAGUGUUGAUAGAAAAAUCUAAAUUGUAACUGAGGCAUUGCUGGAGGCUCAGUGUGGAUGUCUGAGAGUCAAAACCUCCAGGGGGCAGAGUUUGUGAGCUUUGCCUCAUGAGCUUGACCUGAUCCUCGGGGUGAAUAUAGGAUAAAAUCCCCUAGGCCUGUCCUCAGGAGAGACUAACCAUUGAGGUUUUAUUAGAGCUUCACUCACCUUGGAAAAAUAAAAUUACUGACUAGUUGGCUCUAGUAGUCCACAUGGAAGACUGUAAGGAGGGCCUUAGGUCUAGCCUAAGCAACUCCAUUUUAAAACUCCAGUUUGAAACCUGUAGUCUCAUCAGGCACACCUACCUAAUGGAGCCCUCCAGUAUGACCCUCAGGCACAAACAAGUCACUUCUCCCCACCUUGACAAACUCAGAGUGAAAUCUCUGGCAUGCUGUCCUCACUGAUAAGGGGGAAAGGUGAGAAUAUCAGGAUGGGGACCACCAGACCAGAUGUUUUAACACCAGGGUAAAUGACAUAACUGAGAGACCUGGUUGCAGCUGAUAGGGAUUGAAAGGGAGGUCAAAAGCCCCCAAAUUUGUUAUAAGUAAUGGAGCAAAUGAACAUUCAGCCAGCCGACACUGAUGCACACAAGCCUGAAAGCCUAAUGGGGACCUGAACUAACAUCCCAACUUUCCUCAUCUGCCUGAUCCUCUGUGUUGUUCUCGCUGCUCUCAAACUCUACAGCAGCCUCUUGACUCUGGUGAGAAAAGGACUUCUCCCUAUGACCACCUCCUCAGCCAGUGCUCCACCCCAGAAGAAGCCUGCCUUGGUUCCUGACCUGAUCACCACAGUCUGAGUGUGCAUCUGAUGGACUUACAGCCUAAGGCUUGAGACUUUAGAUCUGGCACUUGAGCUUAGCACACAGAGGGAAUGUCUGUCAUUAGCCUAUCAUGAUUAGGUAUAUUUGCAGUACUUAGAAUUAAUCUGGAAUUGUUUGCUGUGAAUUAAUUAAUCUAGAAUUGUUUGCUGUUAAUUGAUUAUGUCAUUGCAGUGCCUAGCAUUAAGGAUUGUCAUUUUCUUGAUUAAGAACUCAUAGAGUGAAACUGUAUUGAGUGAUUUAGGUGAAUAAAGCAUUGACAAAGGCAGAAGCAUGUGAACAUUCUUUAUUUCUCCCCUCGACUGCAUAAGUCACACAUUUUGCCAUCGAGACGAUGAUAAGAACUAGACCCCAGCUAGAACCCACUCCAGCCAUCCUGUCUCAGGGGCUUGGGGUGGGUGGAAAAAGCAGUCAAGCAGUUCGGAGUCCAGAGGCACAGGCUCACUAAAAGACUGAAACCCACACUCAGGACUAUAGAGUGCCUCCCUGGGCCACACCUCAUCACCACGGCAGCCCUAAUUACAGCAGUGCUUUCUACACCGUGUAUUAUGUCUGGCUAUCAAGACAAAACUGCAGAGCAUAGUAAAUGGCAAAAAGCCCCAUUUGAAGAGACAGAGCAAGCAUUAGAACAAGGUAUGGCAAGGAUGUUUGAAUUUAUCAGACUAGGAACUUAAAACAAUUAUGUUAUAUGUUAGAAAUGCAGCAAGCAAGAAUAUGGGCAGCAUAAGCAGAGAGAUGGAAAUUCUAAGAAAAAAUAAAGAAAUGCUAGGUGGAUGCCUCUGGAUAGACUAUUAGUAGAAUGGACACAGGUAAAUAAAGAAUCUCCAUUCUUGAAGUUAUUUCAAUAGAAACCUUCAAAACUGAAAAGCAAUGAGAAAAACAAACAAAACCACCCCAGAAUAUCCAAGAACUUUGGGACAGUUACAAAAGGC
rnacentral:lncRNA from 1 species